ACUCUCUUUGUGACAGACAGGAAGAAAAUACAGAAACCACCCAAAACAUCCUAGCAACUGUAUAGCAACCAGCCAGAGUACCUUAACAACUGCCUAGCAAUCUUAACAUCAGCAAAUUUUUGGCUUGGCCAAACCAGGCGUCACAGUGCUGUUUACCAGAGACCGUGUGAGGCGCAGG
ensembl:lncRNA